GAUGAACGCUGGCGGCGUGCCUAAUACAUGCAAGUCGAGCGAACGGACGAGAAGCUCGCUUCUCUGAUGUUAGCGGCGGACGGGUGAGUAACACGUGGAUAACCUACCUAUAAGACUGGGAUAACUUCGGGAAACCGGAGCUAAUACCGGAUAAUAUUUUGAACCGCAUGGUUCAAAAGUGAAAGACGGUCUUGCUGUCACUUAUAGAUGGAUCCGCGCUGCAUUAGCUAGUUGGUAAGGUAACGGCUUACCAAGGCAACGAUGCAUAGCCGACCUGAGAGGGUGAUCGGCCACACUGGAACUGAGACACGGUCCAGACUCCUACGGGAGGCAGCAGUAGGGAAUCUUCCGCAAUGGGCGAAAGCCUGACGGAGCAACGCCGCGUGAGUGAUGAAGGUCUUCGGAUCGUAAAACUCUGUUAUUAGGGAAGAACAUAUGUGUAAGUAACUGUGCACAUCUUGACGGUACCUAAUCAGAAAGCUACGGCUAACUACGUG
rnacentral:rRNA from 1 species